CGCUGGCGGUGUGCUUAACACAUGCAAGUCAACGAGAAUUUUAUCUUCGGAUAAAUACUAAAGUGGCGAACGGGUGAGUAACGCGUAAAUAACUUGCCUUGGAGAUUGGGACAACAUUGGGAAACCAGUGCUAAUACCAAAUAAUGCAACAAGCCCUUCGGGGCAUAUUGUUAAAGUAGGCUUCGGCUUACACUUCAAGAUAGAUUUGCGUCCGAUUAGUUAGUUGGUAGAGUAAUAGCCUACCAAGACUGAGAUCGGUAGCUGGUCUGAGAGGAUGAUCAGCCACACUGGAAUUGAGAUACGGUCCAGACUCCUACGGGAGGCAGCAGUGAGGAAUUUUGCACAAUGGGCGAAAGCCUGAUGCAGCAACACCGCGUGAUUGAUGAAGUUUUUAGGAAUGUAAAAAUCUGUCGUAAGUGAAGAAAUGUUUCGGAUGUUAAUACCAUCUGUCAUUGACGGUAACUUACAAGAAAGGACCGGCUAACUUCGUGCCAGCAGCCGCGGUAA
rnacentral:rRNA from 1 species